AUUGAACGCUGGCGGCAUGCUUUACACAUGCAAGUCGAACGGUAGCAGGCCGCAAGGUGCUGACGAGUGGCGAACGGGUGAGUAAUGCAUCGGAACGUGCCCAGUCGUGGGGGAUAACUACUCGAAAGAGUAGCUAAUACCGCAUACGAUCUAUGGAUGAAAGCGGGGGACCGUAAGGCCUCGCGCGAUUGGAGCGGCCGAUGUCAGAUUAGGUAGUUGGUGGGGUAAAGGCUCACCAAGCCAACGAUCUGUAGCUGGUCUGAGAGGACGACCAGCCACACUGGGACUGAGACACGGCCCAGACUCCUACGGGAGGCAGCAGUGGGGAAUUUUGGACAAUGGGCGCAAGCCUGAUCCAGCAAUGCCGCGUGCGGGAAGAAGGCCUUCGGGUUGUAAACUGCUUUUGUACGGAACGAAACGGCUCUGGUUAAUACCCGGGGCUAAUGACGGUACCGUAAGAAUAAGCACCGGCUAACUACGUG
rnacentral:rRNA from 1 species